AUUCAAAUAGCUUAUAGUAAGAGCAUAACACUGAAGAUGUUAGGGAGAUUUUCGAAUCUUUGAAUA
rnacentral:tRNA from 1 species